CAGUCGCCGCGGUAAAACGUAGGUGGCAAGCGUUGUCCGGAAUUAUUGGGCGUAAAGGGCUCGCAGGCGGUUUCUUAAGUCUGAUGUGAAAGCCCCCGGCUCAACCGGGGAUGGUCAUUGGAAACUGGGAAACUUGAGUGCGGAAGAGGAGAGUGGAAUUCCACGUGUAGCGGUGAAAUGCGUAGAGAUGUGGAGGAACACCAGUGGCGAAGGCGACUCUCUGGUCUGUAACUGACGCUGAGGAGCGAAAGCGUGGGGAGCGAACAGGAUUAGAUACCCCCGUAGUCCCUGUCUCUUAUAC
rnacentral:rRNA from 1 species